GGGCUGUAGCUCAGUGGCAAAGCGUCUGUUUUGCAUGCCGAAGGUCUUGGGUUCAAUCCCCAGUGGCAUCC